AAUUAAAUAAAGAAAUCAUACAGGAAUUAUUUUAAAAUAUAUAACUCUCUACAAUUUAAAUGGUUUUAACCAUCAAAUUAUACUAACCAAAUUAACCGUAAUUUAAAACGAGCUUUACUCUCGAGUUUGGUUGGCAAGAAAUGUUUUAUGCUCUGCAUUUAAAUUUUAUACAGAGGAUUUUGGGAUUAUUCGUCCAGUCUUAUAUGCACAUUUUGUGGUCACCAGUGUCACUUAGACGCGAAGUGCACUGUAGGCAAAAUCUGGUAACGAAUCCGAUGUUUGCAAACAAACAAUCAUGGACGAGCUCUUGUGUACCGUGGAUGCAUCCAGCCAAGCGGCACCAUCACAGAACGGAACGAAAGCGUUCAAAACCGCGGCGACAGCGCGGUAAAAAUUGCGAGCGCGAGCGAAAGGAUGAUGUCAAAGGUCGGCGCUCCGCGGUCCGGUUUUGGGUGAUCCGCUCUGUGGGACGGCUGCCGACGAACUGAGGCGACGGCGACGCCAUCCGCUCGUUUAAAGGACCCCCGAAGGCAGCAGAGAAGGCUGGCAAAACACUCGCCUGAUAAGGAUAACGACACGAAGAUGGGGUUCGGCCGUGGGUCUGGUUAAACAAGGCGGCCAUAUCCGUACGCAGACCCACAAGUAGGUCUAUGACUGUACUGCCACAAUGGCAGUUGAAAUAAUAGAAACAAGUAUAUUUUUCUGAUUUAAUACUAAUAAAAAAGCAAAUAUCCGAAGUAAUAAUAGAAAUAACAGAAA